AGUAAGUUAUAAGAAACUCACUAACCUUUACCCUUUUGGAUAGACUUUCGAGCAUCAGUGGAAUUGAAUGUUAACAUCCUUGACAUUAGAACAGUGAUUCUCAAAUUACACUGGUUCCAUCUAGUGCAAAGAAUCACUCAAUUAAUCAAUUAAGUGAUUCAAACACAAGUGUUACUCUUCAAAGUGUGUGUAAUGUUACAGUGACCAAAAACAUAAAAUAUACUUAUUCAAAUCAAACCUCUGCAUUGUUUUAAUGAAUAUUUAGCCCUACUACGCUACUAUAUUUUAAUGUUGGUCAUUAUGGUGAGAGACAAGUGUUUUCUGAGGUGGUACUUGGUGAAAAAGGUUUUAGAGAACCACUGUAUUAGAGGACUAGUACACAAACCAAAGAAUGAUCUUUGGAAGACCAUCUAACAUCGUGUUCCUUUCCCUUUCCAGCGACUCUCGGAUCUUUCACUCAAGAACAAAUGUUACUUGUGAACUUUCUCGAUUUUCUCGGGUUGUCAGGGGGUACCAACGCUGGAACCACGAACAACGGCGACGUCAUGCUGAUCCUGCUGACUGUCCUAACAGUUUUGGGCCUGCUCCAUGUCUAACGAGACCAGAAGUGAGGAGGAAGAGCAGGCGGUCAUCGGUUCCAAUGAUGACACAUCACAUGGGUUCUAUUAAAAGUUUUUACUGUCUUCUAUGACUACUUACUCAAACGUGUGUAGGUACUUGAGAGCAGCAGGGCUCGGCUAAUUGUUUGCAUCGACAUCAUUAAAGCAAGCUCAUUUCGACAAAAGGGAACUUCAUGCCUCACGAGUUUGUACAGUUUGAGAAGAGCCAAACGCAGGCGACAUUUAAUUUUGUGUUUAUUUGUUGCAUGUAGCAGCAGUGUAAAGUAUUUAUGGAUUUGUUGUGAUCUAGACGCAUUAAUAAAGAUGAAACUGUCAUUUUGUCCUUCAAGACGCCGUUGCAUCACAAUGGUAAUGCUCAAAUCUUGUUCUUUUUUUUUUAGCAAAAUAAAUUAUUCAGAUUGACUUUUGGCCGUUACAAAAAGCUCUGUGCAGUUGAAGAGACGAUAUAGCUCUCAACUGACCUAAGAACUUAACUAGAUGAAGUAGCCGUAAAGCAGGAAGCAUCUGACUUGACUCUUGAUUGGUCAACACUGCAAAAAGUCAGUGUUCAAAAACAAGAACAAAAAAUACAAAAAUUAGGGGUAUUUUAUUUGAACUAAGCAAAAUUAUCUGCCAAUAGAACAAGAAAAUUUGGACUUUCCAAAACAAGGAAAAUUAGCUAACUUCAAUGAACCCAAAAGUACCUUAAAAUAAGUAUUUUCUCUCUAACAACAAGUGCACUUUUCUUGGUAGAAAAAACAAAUAUGAGACCUUUUUGCUCAAUAUGUUGUAAAAUAUUCUUAAAUAAAGUAAAUGCUAGUGCCAUUAUCUUGACAUAAUGAUAUGCGCUCGGCAUUACAUUUCUUGAAACCAGCAAACUUAUACUAAAAACUAAUUAAUUGUUCUUAAUGGAAAGGCAACAAGGCAAGCGCUUGUUACUUUCGGGGUCUCCUAGCCGCUCAGGCAAAUCAUAUUGUCUAAAAAUGCAUUUUUCCAUCGACAACAUGACAUUAUCGCGCCAAGUGCGUGCUCUUUCAGUCAAUUAGUGCGCAUAUAUACAGCCCGGCCCCCGGACAAAUUUUUUGUAUUGUAAUUUUGAAGAAUUUAUCUGAAUGUGCAUGAACUAUUUCUGUUCAAAAUUGUUUGAAAUGUUAAAUGUUUAAAUAUUAACUGUCAGUUUACUGUACUGUGCCAACUGUACUACUAUACGAGUAUGUAUUUUCUCUUGUUUCAUUGGAAAUAAAGCAGCAAAGUCCA